UGUAAGAGCAAUCUGGUUGCCACAUCUAUCACCCUGUUGAUCACCAGGGUUGAUUUGGCUGGUCAGACUGGCAAGGAAUGUGUCUGCCGUCUCCAUCACUGU